AAUGAACGCUGGCGGCAGGCCUAACACAUGCAAGUCGAACGGAUCCUUCGGGAUUAGUGCCGGACGGGUGAGUAACGCGUGGGAACAUACCCAAAGGUACGGAAUAGCGUCGGGAAACUGGGAGUAAUACCGUAUGUGCUCGGCAGAGGAAAGAUUGAUCGCCUUUUGAUUGGCCCGCUGUGGAGUAGGGAGUUGGUGGGGGAAUGGCCUACCAAGCCGACGAUCCAUAGUUGGUUUGAGAGGAUGAUCAGCCACACGGGGACUGAGACACGGCCCAGACUCCUACGGGAGGCAGCAGUGGGGAAUCUUAGACAAUGGGGGAAACCCUGAUCUAGCCAUGCCGCGUGAUCGAUGAAGGCCUUAGGGUUGUAAAGAUCUUUCAGGUGGGAAGAUAAUGACUGUACCACCAGAAGAAGCCCCGGCUAACUCCGUGCCAGCCGCCGCGGUAA
rnacentral:rRNA from 1 species